AUCUACCGUCAUCUAGUGUCAUCUAGUGUCAUCUACUGUCAUCUACCGUCAUCUAGUGUCAUCUACUGUCAUCUGCUGUCAUCUACCGUCAUCUACUGUCAUCUAGUGUCAUCUAGUGUCAUCUACCGUCAUCUAGUGUCAUAUACCGUCAUCUACCGUCAUCUAGUGUCAUCUACCGUCAUCUAGUGUAAUCCACCGUCAUCUAGUGUCAUCUAGUGUCAUCUACCGUCAUCUAGUGUCAUCUAGUGUCAUCUACUGUCAUCUACUGUCAUCUACCGUCAUCUACUGUCAUCUACUGUCAUCUACUGUCAUCUACUGUCAUCUACCGUCAUCUAGUGUCAUCUACAGUCAUCUACUGUCAUCUACUGUCAUCUACUGUCAUCUACCGUCAUCUACUGUCAUCUACCGUCAUCUACUGUCGUCUACCGUCAUCU
rnacentral:lncRNA from 1 species